rnacentral:rRNA from 1 species
CGAAAACCUGUCCCAGUUCGGACUGGAGUCUGCAACCCGACUCCACGAAGUUGGAUUCGCUAGUAAUCGCGCAUCAGCCAUGGCGCGGUGAAUACGUUCCCGGGCCUUGUACACACCGCCCGUCAAGCCAUGGGAGCCGGGGGCGCCUGAAGUCCGGGACCGCGAGGACCGGCCUAAGGCGAAACUGGUGACUGGGGCUAAGUCGUAACAAGGUAAC